UACGGAAGGCAGCAGUGGGGAAUAUUGCACAAUGGGCGCAAGCCUGAUGCAGCCAUGCCGCGUGUAUGAAAAAGGCCUUCGGGUUGUAAAGUACUUUCAGUCGUGAGGAAGGUGUUAAGGUUAAUAACCUUAGCAAUUGACGUUAGCGACAGAAGAAGCACCGGCUAACUCCGUGCCAGCAGCCGCGGUAAUACGGAGGGUGCGAGCGUUAAUCGGAAUUACUGGGCGUAAAGGGCACGCAGGCGGUUAAUUAAGUUGGAUGUGAAAUCCCCGGGCUUAACCUGGGAAUGGCAUUCAAGACUGGUUAGCUAGAGUCUUGUAGAGGGGGUAGAAUUCCAUGUGUAGCGGUGAAAUGCGUAGAGAUGUGGAGGAAUACCGGUGGCGAAGGCGGCCCCUGGCAAAGACUGACGCUCAUGUGCGAAAGCGUGGGGAGCAAACAGGGAUUAGAUA
rnacentral:rRNA from 1 species